rnacentral:rRNA from 1 species
AAGUCUGAACCAGCCAAGUAGCGUGCAGGAUUGACGGCCUAUGGGUUGUAAACUGCUUUUGUUGGGGAGUAAAGUGGGGCACGCGUGCCUUUUUGCAUUUACCCUUCGAAUAAGGACCGGCUAAUUCCGUGCCAGCAGCCGCGGUAAUACGGAAGGUCCAGGCGUUAUCCGGAUUUAUUGGGUUUAAAGGGAGUGUAGGCGGUCUGUUAAGCGUGUUGUGAAAUUUAGGUGCUCAACAUCUACCUUGCAGCGCGAACUGGCGGACUUGAGUGCACGCAACGUAUGCGGAAUUCAUGGUGUAGCGGUGAAAUGCUUAGAUAUCAUGACGAACUCCGAUUGCGAAGGCAGCGUACGGGAGUGUUACUGACGCUUAAGCUCGAAGGUGCGGGUAUCGAACAGGAUUAGAUACCCUGGUAGUCCGCACGGUAAACGAUGGAUGCCCGCUGUUAGCGCCUGGCGUUAGCGGCUAAGCGAAAGCAUUAAGCAUCCCACCUGGGGAGUACGCCGGCAACGGUGAAACUCAAAGGAAUGGACGGGGGCCCGCACAAGCGGAGGAACAUGUGGUUUAAUUCGAUGAUACGCGAGGAACCUAACCCGGGCUGA